GAAGAAGUCCUAUUUAAAGACAUCUAGAGAUUGGCAAUAGAAUAAAUGCAAUAAAUGCAAGAACACAUCUAGAGAUUGGCAAUCGAAUAAAUGCAAUAAAUGCAAGAGCUAUAAGAAGAUCAUCGAAUGAUUAAAAGCCUAUUGUUGGUGAUGCGACCGCCAAGAACGCAGUCCAAGCUGAGCCGCAGCGAUCCGAGCUGGGGGGACCUGGAUGCGAAGGAAAGAACGAUCUGCGCGGGUUCACCUGAGAAGGGAGAAUACCAGAGGGACUCCAGUCCCCGGAAUAACUCUGACGGUCAAGUCAGCCGUGUUUAUGAGUAAGACAGCAGUAGAGGGUACUGUGAAUGGCAUACCUUCAGUCAUCGGGUAAUGACGUAUUUAUAGGCUUGACCAAGUGGUGGUUUCCAUGUAGGAGUUGGAGUCCCAUUAGGGUUCGGAGUCCUUCUAGGAUUUCGUAUGACAACCCCUAAAGAUUCGGAGGCGGCAGCCCAUCAGGCCCACUUCAUGGAGAAGGAGAGGCGGCGGCCACGACCGAGCUGACCUCCCUCCAUUCCGAGCUGUUUCGCCCGAGCCGCCGUAUCACAGCAUCCGAGCUGACACGUGGCUACUGGGAAAUUUGCCCCACUACAGUUGGAAAUAACGAAGAAGUAAAAUUUUAGAAUAUUGGUUGAUCAGAGUUUCUAUUAAAUAACCAAUUAAGAAAAACCUUUGCCUAAUACCAAAAUGACGAUGACCAUUGCUUCCACA
rnacentral:lncRNA from 1 species